rnacentral:snoRNA from 1 species
AAAGCAGGUCUGCAAUUGCAGCGCUCCAUAUCAGUGGAGUGCUGUCAUUAACCCUGCUGAGAGCACGUCUGCUGAAGAGCUGCUCCUCCUCCUCGCUGUGCUGGGGAUCAGGAAGCUCUGCAGCUGAACACC